rnacentral:rRNA from 1 species
GACGAACGCUGGCGGCGUGCCUAAUACAUACAAGUCGAACGAGAGCGACCGGUGCUUGCACUGGUCAAUCUAGUGGCGAACGGGUGAGUAACACGUGGGUAACCUGCCCAUCAGAGGGGGAUAACAUCCGGAAACGGAUGCUAAAACCGCAUAGGUCUUCGAGCCGCAUGGCUUGAAGAGGAAAAGAGGCGCAAGCUUCUGCUGAUGGAUGGACCCGCGGUGCAUUAGCUAGUUGGUGAGGUAACGGCUCACCAAGGCCGUGAUGCAUAGCCGACCUGAGAGGGUGAUCGGCCACAUUGGGACUGAGACACGGCCCAAACUCCUACGGGAGGCAGCAGUAGGGAAUCUUCCGCAAUGGACGCAAGUCUGACGGAGCAACGCCGCGUGAGUGAAGAAGGUUUUCGGAUCGUAAAACUCUGUUGUUAGAGAAGAACAAGUGCUAGAGUAACUGUUAGCGCCUUGACGGUAUCUAACCAGAAAGCCACGGCUAACUACGUG